AUUUAAAAAUGCUUUUGCAACCUGACACUGUUCAGCUUUUUUAUCUUUUACCAGUAUUUGGGGACUUAUUGGGGAUUCCUUUGAUAAUUUCAGGAAGAAAGAAGUGGAAUGGAAGGAGCCAGUAACUGUCCCAGGUCAGAAAACGCCUCUGAAAAGGAUCUACAUUACACCCAAAGUUCAUUGGAUAACUGCACCCUCAACAAUCAGGAGACAAUAAGUGGUGUAGACAGAGCUAAUAUCUUCCCCAAAUCAGAUGGUACCUCUGAAGACAUUCAGCAUUCCACAGACUGUUCACAGGUUGAGACUUUCCACAUUCAGGAGACAAUAAGUGGUACGAACCAAGCCAGUAACUGCCCCAAAUCAGAUGGUGCCUCUGAAGACAAUCAGCAUUGCACAGACAGUUCACAGCAUGACAGUAUCUUCCACAUUCAGGAGACAAUAAAGGGUAUGAACCAAGCCAGUAACUGCCCCAAAUCAGAUGGUGCCUCUGAAGACAAUCAGCAUUGCACAGACAGUCCACAGCAUGACAGUAUCUUCCACAUUCAGGAGACAAUAAAGGGUAUGAACCAAGCCAGUAACUGCCCCAAAUCAGAUGGUGCCUCUGAAGACAAUCAGCAUUGCACAGACAGUCCACAGCAUGACAGUAUCUUCCACAUUCAGGAGACAAUAAAGGGUAUGAACCAAGCCAGUAACUGCCCCAAAUCAGAUGGUGCCUCUGAAGACAAUCAGCAUUGCACAGACAGUUCACAGCAUGACAGUAUCUUCCACAUUCAGGAGACAAUAAAGGGUAUGAACCAAGCCAGUAACUGCCCCAAAUCAGAUGGUGCCUCUGAAGACAAUCAGCAUUGCACAGACAGUUCACAGCAUGACAGUAUCUUCCACAUUCAGGAGACAAUAAAGGGUAUGAACCAAGCCAGUAACUGCCCCAAAUCAGAUGGUGCCUCUGAAGACAAUCAGCAUUGCACAGACAGUCCACAGCAUGACAGUAUCUUCCACAUUCAGGUA
rnacentral:lncRNA from 1 species